ACUCCUACGGGAGGCAGCAGUGGGGAAUAUUGGACAAUGGGGGAAACCCUGAUCCAGCCAUGCCGCGUGUGUGAAGAAGGCCUUCGGUUGUAAGCACUUCAGUGGGGAGGAAGGUUGUUGGUUAAUACCUAACAGCUGUGACGUUACCCACAGAAGAAGCACCGGCUAACUCCGUGCCAGCAGCCGCGGUAAUACGGAGGGUACAAGCGUUAAUCGGAAUUACUGGGCGUAAAGCGUGCGCAGGCGGUCUGUUAAGCGAGAUGUGAAAGCCCCGGGCUCAACCUGGGAACUGCAUUUCGAACUGGCAGACUAGAGUCUUGUAGAGGGGGUAGAAUUCCAGGUGUAGCGGUGAAAUGCGUAGAGAUCUGGAGGAAUACCGGUGGCGAAGGCGGCCCCCUGGACAAAGACUGACGCUCAGGCACGAAAGGCU
rnacentral:rRNA from 1 species